rnacentral:rRNA from 1 species
UGUUUCGGCUAGGGGGUCAUCCCGACUUACCAACCCGAUGCAAACUGCGAAUACCGAAGAAUGUUAUCACGGGAGACACACGGCGGGUGCUAACGUCCGUCGUGAAGAGGGAAACAACCCAGACCGCCAGCUAAGGUCCCAAAGUCAUGGUUAAGUGGGAAACGAUGUGGGAAGGCACAGACAGCCAGGAUGUUGGCUUAGAAGCAGCCAUCAUUUAAAGAAAGCGUAAUAGCUCACUGGUCGAGUCGGCCUGCGCGGAAGAUGUAACGGGGCUAAACCAUGCACCGAAGCUGCGGCAGCGACACUAUGUGUUGUUGGGUAGGGGAGCGUUCUGUAAGCCGUUGAAGGUGGCCUGUGAGGGUUGCUGGAGGUAUCAGAAGUGCGAAUGCUGACAUAAGUAACGAUAAUGCGGGUGAAAAACCCGCACGCCGGAAGACCAAGGGUUCCUGUCCAACGUUAAUCGGGGCAGGGUGAGUCGACCCCUAAGGCGAGGCCGAAAGGCGUAGUC